rnacentral:rRNA from 1 species
UGGGGAAUAUUGGGCAAUGGGGGCAACCCUGACCCAGCGACGCCGCGUGGGGGAAGACGGCCUUCGGGUUGUAAACCUCUUUUGUACGGGAAGAAGGAAGUGACGGUACUGUACUAAUAAGUCCCUGCUAACUACGUGCCAGCAGCCGCGGUAAUACGUAGGGGACGAGCGUUGUCCGGAAUUACUGGGCGUAAAGGGCUCGCAGGCUGUGCUGCAAGUCAGCUGUUAAAUGUCUGGGCUUAACCCGGUCAUGCGGUUGAGACUGCGGAGCAGGAGUGGUGUAGAGGAAAGUGGAAUUCGAAGUGUAGCGGUGAAAUGCGUAGAUAUUGGGAAGAACACCGGUGGCGAAGGCGACUAGCUGGGCAGCAACUGACGCUGAGGGGCAGAAGACAGGGGAGAAAA